AACAGCCUCUGGAAUUCGCUGACUUCCUGUGGAGAGAGCUAGACGGGAGUUCAGGUGGCACAGUGGAUAAAGAGCUGGACUUGGAGUUCAAAUGUGACUUAAGACACUCAUUAGUUUUGUGACCCUGGGUAUCUCCCACCCUCCUUCCCAUCCCCACACUAGAGAAGGCAUCAUUUGACAAAAAG